rnacentral:lncRNA from 1 species
GGGUGCUCAGGAGAUACGGGUGGGCUGAGGGAUGGACCGCCCGGCCCCCCCACGUGGGCAGAGGCCUGAAUCAUGAAGAAGCCUAAGGGGAAGUUCGAGGGGUUUGGGAACUUACAAAACCCUUAAGUCACUGUCCCUGGCUGCUAGUUCCUAUCUCCACCCCUCCACCCGCCCCAGGUCUCCGAGCCCCUGGGCCUCCUCCUCGCCUCGGGAAUCCAGAGGGACGGCCCCCCCCCGCCUCCUUGGCAGUUCUACCUUCAGCCUCCUCCCUUUCUAUUUAUUUGCCUGUGUCCACGGCAUGCGGAAGCUCCUGAGCAGAGAUCAAACCCUCGCCCCAGCAGGGACCUGAGCCACAGCAGGACAACACUGGAUCCUUAACCCACAAGGCCACCAGGGAGCUCCUACCUUCCACCUCCCCUGACAAAAGGACACAGAGACUGUAAAUCACAUUUUCCCCUCAGAAUGAUUUCCCGUGCUUUCAGAUUCUUGGAAUCGAAAACAAAGCUGAUGUGUCCUGAGCUUCGGAGUAUGUGGCAGCCACUUUUCUGAGGACUCUUUUCAUCCUUACAACAGCCCCUGAUGGAGGUUCUAUUAUUAGCUCCAUUUUACAGACGAGAAAACAAAGUUCAGAGAAGCAAACUGACUUGCCUGAACAUCCCAGGGUGUAGCAGCAGAAUCCAGGUUGACAGCAAAGUGGGGAAGGUUCAGCCUGAAAGGAGGCCCCAGUCAGGCUUCGUCAUUCACUACCGUUACCGCCUCGGCAUCCACUGGGGCGAACCACCCCUCAGCCUCACUGUCCCACCGAACCCUGUGGAAGCCUCUUCUUCCCAGAUCCCACCCCAGCGGGAACAUUUUGUGACUUAGCUGAUGAAAACACACCAAUGCUUUUCAAAUAUUACUUUAGAUUUUCGAAC